rnacentral:misc_RNA from 1 species
UACGUAGGUGGCAAGCGUUGUCCGGAAUUAUUGGGCGUAAAGCGCGCGCAGGCGGUCUUUUAAGUCUGAUGUGAAAGCCCACGGCUCAACCGUGGAGGGUCAUUGGAAACUGGGAGACUUGAGUGUAGGAGAGGAAAGUGGAAUUCCACGUGUAGCGGUGAAAUGCGUAGAGAUGUGGAGGAAUACCGGUUGCGAAGGCGACUCUCUGGUCUGUAACUGACGCUGAGGCGCGAAAGCGUGGGGAGCAAACAGG